rnacentral:lncRNA from 1 species
AAGCCGGAAAUGUUGUGUCGGAAGUUUCUGGCUCUGAAACUGAGCAACCGUUUCACUCUGAAGAUGAAAAUAAUGCGCCUGAUACUCACUCAGUAACCGGUGCAUCGGAUCCCAAUCAGACAGAUGUCAAAACUCUUGCGUCAGGAGGAAAUAGACGUUCUGGGGAUUCAGGUGUGUCCAAUGUUUCUGAUGGAACUCUUGACGAAGAAGAACUGAGGAAUGCCCUGAACGGCGGUCCUCCCAGCACAAGCAGUGGAGAGAGCCAAACAAGUCCGAAAACCGCUGAUAAUGGAUCUGAAAGCAACGAGUACGCCGAUAGCCCACAUUCCUCCAGGGGAGAAGAGGACUAUGAUAUCCGUGAGGACAUCUAAGUUUGUGUAUAACGAGUUGUACGGGUAGACUUAGGAGUUAUGUACGCACAUACACUUAUACAGGGAUUUUUAACCAAAUGACUUACCAUAUCAGUUCAAUGAUACGCUGGAUACAAUGGCACAAAUGGUACAAAAAUAUCUAUCUGUACAACGGCUAGCUUACAAAAGUCCCCAGUUUUGCACGUAUGUAGACCUACCAGCACUGUAUGUAGUGGAACUCAGGCCCGAAGCCGGGAGGAAUCAGGGGUGGGGGAGUGAGGGGGUUCGAAAAUUUGAGCGAGAUAGACGAAGGUCCACUUUUUUCAGAAAAAAAUAUACACUUCUCUCUAUAUACACUUCUCAAAAGGUAAUUUCAGUUAAUCUCAGAGACGUAAUAUUUUCCGUAAAUAACCGUAAGUAAUUCACCCGCGAAUUGAACGUGUAUUGAAAGCACAGAACACACACACACACGCACACACACCGCGAUAUCGUGCAGGUCACGAGAGCUUAAUAUAAACGCACCAUAAAUGAUCAAAAAUAUAAAGGUCUUCCUAUUCCUGUGUUUCAAUCUGUUAUCAUUUUGAACACUAGUCGUUUUCAUUCAUUCGUUUGUUUAUUCAUUAAUUUUUGUCGUGGACGCAUUUCAGGGCGUAAUUACGAGUCAAAUAUUUUCUCAGGAAGCCCCCAACUAAAAUAAGGGGAAGCAAUGCUAAACACGGUUGCACAAAAUGUAUCCUUGGUGUCUUUGCAAGAGUUUCUCGUUCUCUUUUCAAUUUCUCCAUUCAUUACAUGUCCCUGUACCAAUAUAACAACCUACAAACGUCUGCUUUUUUCUUUCUAAUUCAUUUAUUUGUGUACCGACCUUAUAACGUACAUGCAUUAUGAUAAAGUAUUCGUGUAUCAUAACUGCAGACCUUUGAGUAGGUGUAAAAAAGUGACAGACACACAGAGAUGAUGAGAGCAUCGGCUUUGAAGCAUUUCAUUUCCACGCACAUUUGUCUCUGUGCUGACACAUGGUACACAAAUAUAUAUUCAAUUAUCAUUUUUAUGAUAUUUACUAAAAAAUAUCCACAGAAUAACAUGACAAUGCUCCUAAGCGUCCCGAUUCCUCGUAGAAAUUCUCCUUGAAUUCUCCCGAUAGGGCAUUAACAUGCUUAAUAUACCACACACAUACAAGGUAAAAUGAAAACACAUGGACCUGUACAAACAUGCUUCUGGAUUCUAUAAAAUCAUUAUUCGACAAGCACAAGCACAAAUGUGAGUUAUUUGAUACUACAAAUUGCCACAUCCCUCAGGCAAUUUUAAAACACUUCAUAUAACGAUUGCACAGCCAUGUGUUUUGAGUAAUGAAAGGAUCCAUGCACUAUUAUAAACGUAAUUGUAGGCUAAAUCCAGGAAAAAUUAAUAUGGUAGUCAACGAUCGGCGAAUCUCCAUAAACAUUGUUGGUAAAGGAACUAUUUUUUCAUUAAUACAAAGGAUGCUUUGCGAACAUUACAAGAUCGGUGGGUGCUGUUUUGUUUGAUGGCUAUUCUAUAUACCAGAUGUAUCAAUUGAUUUUAUGAAAAGUGUCAAAAUGAUAUUGAGAAAAAUACACCUAGGCCUCCAGUUUGUAAACUAUCCCAAGCACUUUAAGACUGUCCUCGAUACGAAUGCUUCAAACGCUGACGUUAUGUUCGACGGAACUUCUUUCGUAAUAUGGCAUGCAUCAGUUCAUCUGAAAGAAUUAUUAAUGCCACGUUUUGUCAUAAGAUUACUUCACACAACAGUUAUAUAACAAGCAAAAAUUAUUGAAUUCAACUCAGUUAUUUUAUUAGCAUAACCUCAUUGCAUCGCAGUAGCUCCAAAUUUUGCGUUGUAAAAAGGCACAUGGGUUCAAACCGAUUAAAAGCAAACAUGGUAUCCAACAAGACAUAGUUAUUUAUAAAUAAAUUUGACAUAGAAAGUAGCCAUAUGCUGAAAAAAG